GCGCGGGUGGCGAAACGGCAGACGCGCCGGAUUUAGGUUCCGGUCCUUUCGGGGGUGUGGGUUCAAAUCCCAUCCCGCGCACCA
rnacentral:tRNA from 1 species